rnacentral:rRNA from 1 species
AACGAACGCUGGCGGCAGGCUUAACACAUGCAAGUCGAGCGAGACCUUCGGGUCUAGCGGCGGACGGGUGAGUAACGCGUGGGAACGUGCCCUUCUCUACGGAAUAGCCCCGGGAAACUGGGAGUAAUACCGUAUACGCCCUUUGGGGGAAAGAUUUAUCGGAGAAGGAUCGGCCCGCGUUGGAUUAGGUAGUUGGUGGGGUAAUGGCCCACCAAGCCGACGAUCCAUAGCUGGUUUGAGAGGAUGAUCAGCCACACUGGGACUGAGACACGGCCCACACCCCGCGGGGAGGAAGGAGGGGGAAAUUUUAAAAAAGGGGCGCACCCCGAAUCACGCUCGCCGGGGUGGGGAAAAAGGGCUUGAGGUUUAAAAAUCUCUUCAAGCGGGAAAAAAAAGCAGGGUACAAGAAAAAAAACCCCCGGCUACCCCGGGC